UGGGGAAUAUUGCACAAUGGGCGCAAGCCUGAUGCAGCCAUGCCGCGUGUAUGAAGAAGGCCUUCGGGUUGUAAAGUACUUUCAGCGGGGAGGAAGGGAGUAAAGUUAAUACCUUUGCUCAUUGACGUUACCCGCAGAAGAAGCACCGGCUAACUCCGUGCCAGCAGCCGCGGUAAUACGGAGGGUGCAAGCGUUAAUCGGAAUUACUGGGCGUAAAGCGCACGCAGGCGGUUUGUUAAGUCAGAUGUGAAAUCCCCGGGCUCAACCUGGGAAAUGCAUCGGAUACUGGCAAGCUUGAGUAUCGUAGAGGGGGGUAGAAUUCCAGGUGUAGCGGUGAAAUGCGUAGAGAUCUGGAGGAAUACCGGUGGCGAAGGCGGCCCCCUGGACGAAGACUGACGCUCAGGUGCGAAAGAGUGGGGAGCAAACAGG
rnacentral:rRNA from 1 species